AGAAGUUCGCAUAUAGCCUAUAGUUUUAUUUUUCCGUGAUCGGGAUCGCGGGCCCUGCGGGGUUUUCUGAAAGUGUGCACGGGGAACACACGUGUUUCCGUUUCAACGAAAACAACACAGCUUCACUGUCACAGCGAAGGCUUGUAUUUUACAUCUUUAAAACGAUCUGAUGUCAGAAGAAGAUGCCCUGGAAUUCCUGUUGCAGGAUGACCGAAACGAUCAUGCAUUCAGUAUAAACAUGUAUAUGGUAUUGACAUCCCAAUAUUUAGUGAGAAGUUCCCAGGUAUCGUCCGCUAGUGACAGUCUGCUGGCAAAUCCAGGCAUGCGAUGGAAGGAUGCUGAUGUGAAGGACACAGGGACACCUGAUCCAAGAACUGUGGCAUUUCAUUCAGAGUGACAACCUGACAUUCAGUUGAUAUGGGACCCGAUUAUUCAGAGAACUGCAGAUUUUAGGAAGCUGUUUUUGACAGAAGAUUUGGUUUUCUCCAUCUGUAUUGCCACCAACCAUUAUGCUGAGAUGGUCAUAUCAAGGGGGAAGGAUUGUCAUUAUGCUUCCCAAGGAAGUUCGCAUCCUCUCACUGGCAUCCUCUCACUGAAGAGGAAUUGUACAGGUAUUACUAGUUUUAAAGUACCGAUAUUGUGACAGUGAUUUUUCAGUUUAAAACGAAUGAUAAAAUGCAUAAUAAAAAGAUUAUCUUUACCAAAAUUAAUCUUGCUGUGCGUCUAACACAUUUAUUAGAUGUAUACUACAAUUACCUCUGAUAAAAUUUCAUAAGUAAUUAAUGCAUAGUAGUAAUUUUCAGAGGGCCUUGACUAUAGAAACCAUUUACAGAGCCAAUUGAGCAUUCAAAAGCUCUGACGAUACAUUAGUAUUUAGGGCUAAGUAUUAAGAAAUUCUUUCCCCCCCCCCCAGAUUUUUGUGCAUUAUCUGAUACAUGUUUGCUGUGAAGUUCCAGCCAAUAGACAGAUAUUGGUUAAUGCAUGCCCCUAUCGGAACAACCCAGUACAGUGUAUCAGGAAUGAUGUCUAGAAAUAAGUUUUAAGAACAUUUUUGUUAAAUAUGAUGCAAGUACAUUUAAAUCUAGUGAUUGAAAGUAAGUACUUGAACAUUCGUAUACGUUGAACUUGCAGAGGAAAAACGGGUAGUACUUUUUGAUAACAUUUGAUAAGGUGCUGUAACUGCUGUUGCUUAGCAACCAAAUAUAUUUGAAAGCAAAAAUUUUAAUUAUUUUAGAUUCACAAUAAAGAUCUUUAUUUUACUGUUGCAAUAUUUAUUCUAUUUAGUGGAACAUAAUGGCAAAACGUCAUAUUAUUAGAAAAUGAUGGAUAUGUACAAUGUAUAUUAAGUACAAAGUUUCCAUUUUAUGACCUUUGACCUUAAUUCUCUUCAUCAUAUUUUUUGUUUAAAACCUUUUAAAAUGAUUAAGAUUUAUUUAAAGAUUAUAUUUUUAAAAUAAUGUGACAUUUACUAAUCAUCAUUCAAUGUAAUUGUGUUUAAAUUGUGUCAAAUGUAUGUAGAAAGCCAAAUUAUGGUCAAAAUUGUACUACGAGUGUUGUUACUUAGCAACCAAAAAUAUUUGUUUGUCAAUAAAAUUGGCUAAUUU